rnacentral:misc_RNA from 1 species
GCUCAGGACGUCACAGGAGUAUUUUUAUUAUUCAAAUCAUAUAAUGACAAAAUAAUAAUAAAUUGAUGAUGUAAGUCAACAUUCUUCCCCAAUGGACCGUUUAUCUUAUUGGUGGUCACGGGUGACCAUCGUGGCGCCUUGAUAACAGUUGAUAGCAACAUAUUAUAACAAGGCUUCGUUUAUUUCAACAAACCAUUCACAUUCGUUAUUUCGUCGUAAGCAAAACGUCCAGAAUAUAUUGUUGAAACGUGUAGAAGAUGUUAGUAAACAGUAUUUGCUCAUUCUAUAUAUAAUGAUAAGAUUACCCCUCAAUGAUAUGGAUGCAAACACAGUGCACAGUUAGAUGCAAGAUUUGUUCUCAUUUUUUUUAUUGAUGUUCUAAUAAAAAUGUUUAAUUGUUCAAUGGAAC